UACAGAGGUCCCAAGCGUUGUUCGGAUUCACUGGGCGUAAAGGGUGCGUAGGUGGCCAGGUAAGUUCGGUGUGAAAGCUCGGAGCUUAACUCCGAAAUGUCAUUGAAUACUAUCUGGCUAGAGGGUCGGAGGGGAGACUGGAAUUCUCGGUGUAGCAGUGAAAUGCGUAGAUAUCGAGAGGAACACCAGUGGCGAAGGCGAGUCUCUGGACGACACCUGACACUGAGGCACGGAAAGCUAGGGGAGCAAACAGG
rnacentral:rRNA from 1 species